rnacentral:rRNA from 1 species
GAGGAAUAUUGGUCAAUGGACGAGAGUCUGAACCAGCCAAGUAGCGUGAAGGAUGACUGCCCUAUGGGUUGUAAACUUCUUUUAUACGGGAAUAAAGUUAGCCACGUGUGGCUUUUUGUAUGUACCGUAUGAAUAAGGAUCGGCUAACUCCGUGCCAGCAGCCGCGGUAAUACGGAGGAUCCGAGCGUUAUCCGGAUUUAUUGGGUUUAAAGGGAGCGUAGGCGGGUUGUUAAGUCAGUUGUGAAAGUUUGCGGCUCAACCGUAAAAUUGCAGUUGAUACUGGCGACCUUGAGUGCAACAGAGGUAGGCGGAAUUCGUGGUGUAGCGGUGAAAUGCUUAGAUAUCACGAAGAACUCCGAUUGCGAAGGCAGCUUACUGGAUUGUAACUGACGCUGAUGCUCGAAAGUGUGGGUAUCAAACAGGAUUAGAUACCCUGGUAGUCCACACAGUAAACGAUGAAUACUCGCUGUUGGCGAUAUACGGUCAGCGGCCAAGCGAAAGCGUUAAGUAUUCCACCUGGGGAGUACGCCGGCAACGGUGAAACUCAAAGGAAUUGACGGGGGCCCGCACAAGCGGAGGAACAUGUGGUUUAAUUCGAUGAUACGCGAGGAACCUUACCCGGGCUUGAAUUGCAACUGAAUGAUGUGGAGACAUGUCAGCCGCAAGGCAGUUGUGAAGGUGCUGCAUGGUUGUCGUCAGCUCGUGCCGUGAGGUGUCGGCUUAAGUGCCAUAACGAGCGCAACCCUUAUCGAUAGUUACCAUCAGGUUAUGCUGGGGACUCUGUCGAGACUGCCGUCGUAAGAUGUGAGGAAGGUGGGGAUGACGUCAAAUCAGCACGGCCCUUACGUCCGGGGCUACACACGUGUUACAAUGGGGGGUACAGAAGGCAGCUACACGGCGACGUGAUGCUAAUCCCUAAAGCCUCUCUCAGUUCGGAUUGGAGUCUGCAACCCGACUCCAUGAAGCUGGAUUCGCUAGUAAUCGCGCAUCAGCCACGGCGCGGUGAAUACGUUCCCG